AGGACGAACGCUGGCGGCGUGCCUAACACAUGCAAGUCGAACGGGACCAGGGGCAACUCUGGUUCAGUGGCGGACGGGUGCGUAACACGUGAGGAACAUGACCUUCGGCGGGGGAUAGCCGGCCCAACGGCCGGGUAAUACCGCGUACGACCACAUGGGGACAUCCCUGAGUGGUGAAAGCAGCAAUGCGCCGAUGGAGUGCCUCGCGGCCUAUCAGCUAGUUGGUGAGGUAACGCUCACCAAGGCGACGACGGGUAGCUGGUCUGAGAGGAUGGCCAGCCACAGUUGGGACUGAGACACGGCCCAGACUCCGUACGGGAGCAGCAGGUGGGAAUAUGCGCAAUGGAACGAAAGUCUGACGCAGCGACGCCGCGUGUGGAUGACGGUCUU
rnacentral:rRNA from 1 species